rnacentral:rRNA from 1 species
AUUGAACGCUGGCGGCAGGCCUAACACAUGCAAGUCGAGCGGUAGAGAGGUGCUUGCAUCUCUUGAGAGCGGCGGACGGGUGAGUAAUGCCUAGGAAUCUGCCUAGUGGUGGGGGAUAACGUUCGGAAACGGACGCUAAUACCGCAUACGUCCUACGGGAGAAAGCGGGGGAUCUUCGGACCUCGCGCCAUUAGAUGAGCCUAGGUCGGAUUAGCUAGUUGGUGAGGUAAUGGCUCACCAAGGCGACGAUCCGUAACUGGUCUGAGAGGAUGAUCAGUCACACUGGAACUGAGACACGGUCCAGACUCCUACGGAGGCAGCAGUGGGGAAUAUUGGACAAUAGGGCGAAAGACCUGAUCCAGCAAUGCCGCGUGAGUGAUGAAGGCCUC